CUGCAAACUUGUCGCUUUUUGGCGACAAUCGCCGUUUUCUUGGUCAAUUUGGUCAUUCACGUGGAUCGUGUAGAACCGGAGAGUUUUCUUUUGGGGGGGGGGGGGUCCAGAAUUGCGAACAAUUAUUGGAUCAUUCUUGUAAUUGACAUUUCUCUGGGCCAAUCGGAAUCUCAGCACUUGCUUCAGAAUCUUUCUUAUAAUUUGACAUUUCUCUGAGCCAAUCGGAAUCUUGAAGCACACAGCGCCAACUGAGCUCGCCAUUGGAUGAGACGGUCGCCUGGCUACCGCGCAAAUCAGAUGGAACGAUUUAUAUUUUUUGAAGGAACUAUCAUCGAGGCAAUGGUUCUGGGCACUUUGGCGGAGCACUCACUGCCAUUCACAAUGGCCCCUGUCAUCGUCAACCUUGCUCGGAUGCUGGCCGAGGACAAAGUGGCUCUAAGUCGCAUGAAGCUGUCGCGAACAUCAGCGCAAUAUAAAAUGGUUCACGGCCUGGGGAAGACAUUCUCCGACCGCAUCCUCAGCAACACUG
ensembl:lncRNA